GACGAACGCUGGCGGUGUGCCUCAUACAUGCAAGUCGAACGAUAAGGUCCUUCGGGAUACAUAAGUGGCGGACGGGUGAGUAACACGUAGGAAAUCUGCCCUAAGGAGGGGGACAACAGUUAGAAAUGACUGCUAAUACCCCAUAUGAGCUAAGUUGAAAUACUUAUCUUCAAAGAUUUAUCGCCUUAGGAUGAGCCUGCGUCUGAUUAGCUUGUUGGUGGGGUAAUGGCCUACCAAGGCGACGAUCAGUAGCUGGUUUGAGAGGAUGAUCAGCCACAAUGGGACUGAGACACGGCCCAUACUCCUACGGGUGGCAG
rnacentral:rRNA from 1 species